rfam:Tropilaelaps mercedesae isolate Wuxi-XJTLT scaffold0000027303, whole genome shotgun sequence.
GCCAUCGGCCAUAGUACGUUGAAUACGCCGGUUAUUUUCUGAUCACCGAAGCUAAACAACCCUGGGUAUGGGUAGUACUUGGAACGGAGGCGCGUGCGAACACUGGGUGUUAAUGAUA